rnacentral:lncRNA from 1 species
UUGGAGGGCUCUCACCUUUCUAUCAGGACCUGCGGGCAUGAAACGCAGUGUCCCCAGGCAAAAGGGACGUCAGUACAAAUAAUGUACCGAGUAUGUUAGGCAGGAAAGCAUAAACAAGAACAGUAAUGUAAAGAGAGAGAUAGAGGAGAUACAACCUGUAACAUCAAAGUGCCUCUGGGGGUUACUGAUAUGAAAUGCAUAAUACAUAUAUAUACAUAAACUUUUUAAAACAUUCGCCUUUGUGGACAUCAUCAUCAUAUCGUACCCGGCCUCAAAGAGGACUCGGUAAAAGCGUACCCGACCAUCAUAAGGUUCGGUAGAAUCGUACCCGGCCACGUGGAGCUCGGUAAACCCAACUGAUCAGUGGUUGCAUAAUAGGUGUCGUACCCGGCCGACUAUAGCGCGGCUCGGUAGAGUAAAAUAAAUACUAUAUAUAAUGCAUGCUAGACUCAUGGAAUCAUCUUCUAAACCUUUUGGAGUGACUUAAGAACAUAAUAGACAUCCCUACCAUCAAUAUGAACCUUAGUAGGAUUUAAGGAUCAUACACACUUAUUUAGAAUAAUUUUAUAAGGAAAGAACAACAUGGACAACCUUAGUUGCUAGGAGUAGAGUCAUUAUGAAAUAGCGUAUCAUUUAUGUUCAUUUCAUUUUAGACCAUGCCAAAAGAAAGAAGAAAGUGCCUUAACAUACCUGUUCCUGGAAUUAAUAGAACGAAUCUGCUUCUGCAUAAUAUGGACGAAAGUCUGCUUGAAACUCUUGAAAUUCAAGAACGAAAUUGGUUUUCUGCUUUGUAACGUUUUCAAAGACGAGAUGUCUUUGAAUUUUAAUUUGAACUAAGAAUCAGAUUUUAUUAAAACCAAGUGACUACUAUUUUCCCCAAGUGAUUUUUUUAAACCAAGAAAUAUGGUUAUCACUUUACUUUAGGAUAGUAAAGCUU